rnacentral:sRNA from 1 species
AUGCCCUGCCCUGCCUUGCAUUUGCUCUGCCCUGGUUCCACACUGGCCCUGGACCCGCAGGCCAGCACAGUUCUGUGGCCUCUGCACCGGGGUUUCACUCAAGGAGGGGUGGGGGCAGAGAGUGUGGGUGAGCCAGCGUUCCCUGAGGAGCUGCCUUUCUUGGGGACAUUGCCCUGGACGAAGAGGACCUGAGGGCCUUCCAGGUACAGCAGGCUGCGGAUCUCAGACAGCACACAGCUCGUAAGUCCUCCAUCAAAGCUGCAGUUCCAGGAAACACUUCUACCCCCAGCUGCCAGAGCACCAACGGGCAGCCUCAGAGGGGAGCCUGUGGGAGAUGGAGAGGCAGAUCCCGUAGCCGGCGGGCGGCGACGUCCCGACCAGAGCGUGUGUGGCCCGAUGGGGUCAUCCCCUUUGUCAUUGGGGGAAACUUCACUGGUAGCCAGAGGGCAGUCUUCCGGCAGGCCAUGAGGCACUGGGAGAAGCACACCUGUGUCACCUU